rnacentral:rRNA from 1 species
AUGUUGGGUUAAGUCCGCAACGAGCGCAACCCUUGUCUUUAAUUGCCAUCAUUUAUUGGGCACUUUAAAGAGACUGCCGGUGUUAAGCCGGAGGAAGGUGGGGAUGACGUCAAGUCCUCAUGGCCUUUAUGCCCAGGGCUACACACGUGCUACAAUGGGCGGUACAAAGAGAAGCAACCUCGCGAGGGUGAGCAAAUCUCAAAAAGCCGUUCUCAGUUCGGAUUGAAGUCUGCAACUCGACUUCAUGAAGUCGGAAUCGCUAGUAAUCGCGGAUCAGCAUGCCGCGGUGAAUACGUUCCCGGGCCUU